rnacentral:lncRNA from 1 species
CCAAGAUGGGGCCGUUGGGAUGGGGCCAAGUUUCUCGCCUGCAGAAUGGACUACCUCCUAAGAUUGUUGUUAAUAUUAAAUGAGCUAAUACAGACACAACGCUUAGAGCAGCGGCUGGCGAAGGUAAGAUCUGAGAGGUAGCUAUGAAUGUCGUUGCGGUUAUCCAUCAACUACUGCAUGUCAGUGUCUCCAAGUGUCACCCUCUUCCCUCUCUCCCUUUCCCUUGUUCUUCCCUGCCCCUUUCCUACCUAAAGCGCUCUUAUGUGGGCAAUUACCUCCUUUACCUCUCUGUGGGACCCCUCAGAGCCCAGACCACUGUUCAGAUCGUGACCCCGGUGGAGCCGGCACCCUUGGCCCCUAGGGGCCAGGCUGGGCUCCUCCCUCAUGGGGCCUGGGCGCCUGGGCCUGCGGUGUUUGUCAACAACUCCUGAGCCGGGUGCCUGCCGGACAACGGCAGGGGCUUGGCAGCCUGCAACUGUUUGUGCCCCUCUGGCAAAUGUUCGAUGGAGGGAGCCGGUGGAACAGACUCAAGAUUGUCCCUGCCACGCAGACCUUUCGCCGCCAUCAAUGCACCCCUUUGUGCAACAAUACAAACUUUGUGGCUGCUGAAAAAUCCAUUUUUCCACCUUGAAAAGAGCUCCUGCAGCGAGCAGCUUCUCUGGCGGCCCACAGCUCCCAGACUGCCGUCUCCUCGCCUCCGCUUUGUCCCUGACCCGUGGCCUGAGUCGGGUUCCGGGGCUCCCACGUGCCCCUCUAGGGCUCCUCAUCCCUGAGGUCCUGGGUCCCGGGGUGUGUAUGGACUCGAGGGUUCCUAUGAGUGGGAGAGAGACUGCAGCUCCCCUCCCCGGGGCCAUUUACAAUCCUCAGUGCAGAGCUAGAAGUGAGAGCUCCUCUUGCCGGGCUCGGGUACUCCGAGUGGUGGGAGUACCCGAGUACUCUUCCUAAACUUCUCAGGAAAACUGGGGACAGCGAAUCCGUGCGCGCCUUAGUCUAACCUUAAAGUAUGCUCUGUAACCUCCUGGGAGUCAUUUUGCU